CCUACGGGUGGCAGCAGUGGGGAAUAUUGGACAAUGGGGGGAACCCUGAUCCAGCCAUGCCGCGUGUGUGAAGAAGGCCCUCGGGUUGUAAAGCACUUUCAGUGAGGAAGAACGCCUGGUGGUUAAUACCCAUCAGGAAAGACAUCACUCACAGAAGAAGCACCGGCUAACUCCGUGCCAGCAGCCGCGGUAAUACGGAGGGUGCGAGCGUUAAUCGGAAUUACUGGGCGUAAAGCGCGCGUAGGUGGCUUGAUAAGCCGGUUGUGAAAGCCCCGGGCUCAACCUGGGAACGGCAUCCGGAACUGUCAAGCUAGAGUGCAGGCGAGGAAGGUAGAAUUCCCGGUGUAGCGGUGAAAUGCGUAGAGAUCGGGAGGAAUACCAGUGGCGAAGGCGGCCUUCUGGACUGACACUGACACUGAGGUGCGAAAGCGUGGGUAGCAAACAGGAUUAGAUACCCUAGUAGUC
rnacentral:rRNA from 1 species